GUGGGGAAUCUUGCGCAAUGGGCGAAAGCCUGACGCAGCCAUGCCGCGUGAAUGAUGAAGGUCUUAGGAUUGUAAAAUUCUUUCACCGGGGACGAUAAUGACGGUACCCGGAGAAGAAGCUCCGGCUAACUUCGUGCCAGCAGCCGCGGUAAUACGAAGGGGGCUAGCGUUGCUCGGAAUUACUGGGCGUAAAGGGCGCGUAGGCGGACAGUUUAGUCAGAGGUGAAAGCCCAGGGCUCAACCUUGGAAUUGCCUUUGAUACUGGCUGUCUUGAGUACGGGAGAGGUGAGUGGAACUCCGAGUGUAGAGGUGAAAUUCGUAGAUAUUCGGAAGAACACCAGUGGCGAAGGCGACUCACUGGCCCGUUACUGACGCUGAGGCGCGAAAGCGUGGGGAGCAAACAGGAUUAGAAACCCUGGUAGUCC
rnacentral:rRNA from 1 species